rnacentral:rRNA from 1 species
AACGAACGCUGGCGGCAUGCCUAACACAUGCAAGUCGAACGAGACCUUCGGGUCUAGUGGCGCACGGGUGCGUAACGCGUGGGAACCUGCCCUUUGGUUCGGAAUAACUCCCCGAAAGGUGUGCUAAUACCGGAUAAUGUCUUCGGACCAAAGAUUUAUCGCCUUUGGAUGGGCCCGCGUUGGAUUAGCUAGUUGGUAGGGUAAAAGCCUACCAAGGCGACGAUCCAUAGCUGGUCUGAGAGGAUGAUCAGCCACACUGGGACUGAGACACGGCCCAGACUCCUACGGGAGGCAGCAGUGGGGAAUAUUGGACAAUGGGCGAAAGCCUGACGCAGCAAUGCCGCGUGAGUGAUGAAGGCCUUAGGGUUGUAAAGCUCUUUUACCCGGGAUGAUAAUGACGGUACCGGGAGAAUAAGCUCCGGCUAACUCCGUG